AUUGAACGCUGGCGGCAGGCCUAACACAUGCAAGUCGAGCGAGCGGCGGACGGGUGAGUAAUGUAUGGGGAUCUGCCCGAUAGAGGGGGAUAACUACUGGAAACGGUGGCUAAUACCGCAUACCAUCAGAUGUGCCCAGAUGGGAUUAGCUAGUAGGUGGGGUAACGGCUCACCUAGGCGACGAUCCCUAGCUGGUCUGAGAGGAUGACCAGCCCCACUGGAACUGAGACACGGUCCAGACUCCUACGGGAGGCAGCAGUGGGGAAUAUUGCACAAUGGGCGCAAGCCUGAUGCAGCCAUGCCGCGUGUGUGAAGAAGGCCUUCGGGUUGUAAAGCACUUUCAGCGGGGAGGCGUUACCUGCAGAAGAAGCACCGGCUAAUUACGUGCCAGCAGCCGCGGUAAUUC
rnacentral:rRNA from 1 species